GGCAAAGGCUAACAAAUGCUUAUUUGAAGCAGUUCUGCAAGGUGUUUGGUAGACCAUUGGACCAUUUACUCUCAUAUUCUUUUUUCCCCUAAUAUCCCUCUUUUGGACCCAACUGUCCCCGUCUCUCUUCUUUACCUUUUUUUUGUUUCUGGUUCACCAUUUCAUGGGUCUUAUACUAGGGCCUUUUCAUCAGGUUUCGGAAGCUAAAACAUA